rnacentral:rRNA from 1 species
UGGGGAAUUUUGGACAAUGGGCGAAAGCCUGAUCCAGCAAUGCCGCGUGUGUGAAGAAGGCCUUCGGGUUGUAAAGCACUUUUGUCCGGAAAGAAAUCCUUGGCUCUAAUACAGUCGGGGGAUGACGGUACCGGAAGAAUAAGCACCGGCUAACUACGUGCCAGCAGCCGCGGUAAUACGUAGGGUGCAAGCGUUAAUCGGAAUUACUGGGCGUAAAGCGUGCGCAGGCGGUUUGCUAAGACCGAUGUGAAAUCCCCGGGCUCAACCUGGGAACUGCAUUGGUGACUGGCAGGCUAGAGUAUGGCAGAGGGGGGUAGAAUUCCACGUGUAGCAGUGAAAUGCGUAGAGAUGUGGAGGAAUACCGAUGGCGAAGGCAGCCCCCUGGGCCAAUACUGACGCUCAUGCACGAAAGCGUGGGGAGCAAACAGGAUUAGAUACCCUGGUAGUCCACGCCCUAAAACGAUGUCAACUAGUUGUUGGGGGAUUCAUUUCCUUAGUAACGUAGCUAACGCGUGAAGUUGGCCGCCU